rnacentral:rRNA from 1 species
UACGUAGGGCGCAAGCGUUGUCCGGAAUUAUUGGGCGUAAAGAGCUCGUAGGCGGCCAGUUGCGUCUGCUGUGAAAUCCCGGGGCUCAACCCCGGGCGUGCAGUGGAUACGGGCUGGCUAGAGGCAGGCAGGGGAGAACGGAAUUCCCGGUGGUAGCGGUGAAAUGCGCAGAUAUCGGGAGGAACACCGGUGGCGAAGGCGGUUCUCUGGGCCUGUACUGACGCUGAGGAGCGAAAGCGUGGGGAGCGAACAGG